UUUCAGGCUGCAAUGUGAAACAGCUGCCCUGUGUGGGACUGAGUGGCAAGAUUUGUUCAUGCCUUCCCUUUGUGACUUCAAGAACCCUGACUUCUCUUUCCGCAGAGACCAGCCCACCCCUGUGUCCACCAUGACCCUCUUCCUCAUGCUGAACUGCAUUCCUUCCCCAAUCACCUUUCCUGUUCCAGAAAAGGGGCUGGGAUGUCUCCGUCUCUGUCUCAAAUUUGUGGUGCACUGAGCUAUAACUUCUUACUUCUGUAUUAAAAUUAGAAUCUGAGUAUAAAUUUACUUUUUCAAAUUAUUUCCAAGAGAGAUUGAUGGGUUAAUUAAAGGAGAAGAUUCCUGAAAUUUGAGAGACAAAAUAAAUGGAAGACAUGAGAACUUUCCAC
rnacentral:lncRNA from 1 species